rnacentral:rRNA from 1 species
CAGCAGCCGCGGUAAUACGUAGGUGGCAAGCGUUGUCCGGAAUUAUUGGGCGUAAGGGGCUCGCAGGCGGUUUCUUAAGUCUGAUGUGAAAGCCCCCGGCUCAACCGGGGAGGGUCAUUGGAAACUGGGAAACUUGAGUGCAGAAGAGGAGAGUGGAAUUCCACGUGUAGCGGUGAAAUGCGUAGAGAUGUGGAGGAACACCAGUGGCGAAGGCGACUCUCUGGUCUGUAACUGACGCUGAGGAGCGAAAGCGUGGGGAGCGAACAGGAUUAGAUACCCGCGUAGUCCCUGUCUCUUAUAA